UACGUAGGCAGCGAGCGUUGUUCGGAGUUACUGGGCGUAAAGGGCGCGUAGGCGGGUGUGCAAGUCUGUGGUGAAAGCCUCCAGCUUAACUGGAGAAGUGCCGUGGAUACUGCGCAUCUUGAGGAGGGUAGGGGCAUCUGGAACGGUCGGUGGAGCGGUGAAAUGCGUUGAUAUCGACCGGAACUCCGGUGGCGAAGGCGAGGUGCUGGACCCUUUCUGACGCUGAGGCGCGAAAGCCAGGGGAGCAAACGGG
rnacentral:rRNA from 1 species